AGCUCAACUUUGUAAUCUGGCUGUCUUUGGCAGUCCGAGUUGUAGUCUAGAGAAGUGUUAUCCGCGCAGACCCUUAUAGAUUUCGGUUGGAAUGCCAAGUCAAAGAGGGUGAGAAUCCCGUAUUUGAUAAGGUGGUCUUGUGCAUUGUGAUACAUUUUCAAAGAGUCGAGUUGUUUGGGAAUGCAGCUCAAAGUGGGUGGUAAAUUCCAUCUAAAGCUAAAUAUUGGCGAGAGACCGAUAGCGAACAAGUACCGUGAGGGAAAGAUGAAAAGCACUUUGGAAAGAGAAUGAAAUAGUACCUGAAAUUGCUGAAAGGGAAACGAGUGAAGUUAGACUUGCGCAGUUGGUAUUCAGCCUUGGCUUCGGUCUUGGUGCAUUUGCCUUCUAUUGCAGGCCAACAUCAGUUUACUUUGCGGUAAAAGGGUUUGGGGAAUGUGGCUUCUUCGGGAGUGUUAUAGCCCUUUACUGGAUGCCGAAUCGUAGACUGAGGAACGCAGCGCGCCUUUAUGGCAAGGCUUUCAAGCCUCGAGCGCUUAGGAUGUUGGUAGAAUAGCUUUACACGACCCGUCUUGAAACACGGACCAAGGAGUCUAACAUGCUUGCG
rnacentral:rRNA from 1 species